CUCAUUACGUUGUAAAUUCCACAUCUUACUAUGUUAGUGGGGUUAUUUGGACCCCACAAAGUAAUAUAAACAAGGAUGUAUAUAUUUGUAUAUAUUGUAUUAUUUCUUUUAUGUAAAUGUGAAUUUUAAUAUGUUCAGUUUUAUCACUGCUGCUAACAGGACAUUUUAACAUCAUCAAAUCAUUUCUUUUUACAGAUAAUAUUAGAAGAUGGAUUAAAUCUUCAGUCCUUAACUUAGAUUUAGCUGUUUUUGCAAUAGUUUACUAUUCAGGUUUUUUUAGACGGAAUUGGGAAAGGACUAUACGUCUUGAAGAGACUGACAAAGUGGGAAUAAUUACUUUGUUUGGAGUAUUAGUUUUUCUCUGCAUCCUCUACAUCAUUAGGCAGCUGACUAAACUCAGAGAGCAGAAGAUGCCAUGGCAUGGAGAGAUAGUGAAAUGGAUAUCUGCUAAAUUUGAAUAUGUUGCUGUAGUGUGCAUGUAUUUUCUGAUUUGGUUUCAAUACAUCUUCCUGAUGUUUGGAUUUGGACUCACUAGUGGAGUAAAGCCCAAAGUGUUUGAUGGUCCAAUUUUCCCUGUGCUGUUUUUUUUGACAUUUUCUUGUUUGAAUGGAAUAAGGAAGAGAGAGAAAAGCUGUAAGUAUGUGAUUAAUCCUUUAUCUCUGUUAUAACUUCAUGAGUAAAUCUGUAUCCAAAAGUAACGCCAGUUUAAUUUAUUAGAGAUAAAUUAUUGAAAACUUCUAAAAUCUGUCAAAUCAGUAUUUCAGUCUUUAUCAGAAUUAGGGGCGUUGCAAUAUAUCAUUGUUGACGAUAAUCAUGAUAUUUUAAAAAUUAAAUAUCU